rnacentral:rRNA from 1 species
UACGUAGGGGGCUAGCGUUGUUCGGAAUUACUGGGCGUAAAGGGCGCGUAGGCGGCUGUGCAAGUCAGAUGUGAAAGCCCUGGGCUCAACCCAGGAUGUGCAUUUGAUACUGCACGGCUAGAGUGUCGGAGAGGAUGGUGGAAUUCCCAGUGUAGAGGUGAAAUUCGUAGAUAUUGGGAAGAACACCGGUGGCGAAGGCGACCAUCUGGACGACAACUGACGCUGAGGCGCGAAAGCGUGGGGAGCAAACAGG